GCUUAUGCCAACCCGAUCGAGGCUCCGGAGGAAGUGAACAACGUGCCAACACGUGUCCUUCCGCUAAAAAACGGCACGCCAGCACGUCCAAAUGGAGCGCACUGCGCUCACCUGGGCAUCUCCUUUAAUGUGUGAGUGACAGUCAUUAGUCUAAUUAUUGUUGGCAGGAGGUGACUUCCCGACUUCCGUGACGCGUUGAGCAGUGAAGGACUAUCCCAGGAGAAACUUGUACAUUGGGCACACGUUAUGUUAAACAGCGUGGGGCAUCGUUAACACAAAGCGCCCGUUACAAACCGGGGGUGAAAGUGCAAUAAUCGCUGGACUGUGCCCGUAAAAACAAGGACAUGUCUCUCCGACACAGUGAAAUUAGUAGUUUGUUUCUUGGGGUUUUUUACCCAGUUCCAAAGCGGCAGGAGAUCUGUUGUGUUAAUCAGCCAGACUGCACAAAAAGGCAGUGCACCUCCACUAAGUUACUGGAACUGGCCAUCCAGACUGGAGUGGAAAGCUCCUCCCAGCGGGAAAAAGUCAAAACAAAGCUACAAAAUGCGAAGUGGGAUGAGGAUGAUGAUGAUGUGUCCCCAUUUGUCCACUGUUGGCUUUGUCUCUCAGCAUUGUCAGCGCUGUGUUGGAGAAAUCCCUCAGGAUGUCCACCGUCUCCCUCUGCAACAGCAGAGACUCCU